rnacentral:rRNA from 1 species
UAGUAACGGCGAGUGAAGCGGGAAGAGCUCAAGCUUAAAAUCUCCGUGCAAGUUUUGCGCGGCGAAUUGUAGUCUAUAGAGGCGUGGUCAGUGAGGGCGCUCGGGGCAAGUUCCUUGGAAGAGGACAGCAUGGAGGGUGAUACUCCCGUUCAUCCCUGGGUGGCUCUUGCGUACGACCCGUUUUCUUUGAGUCGCGUUGUUUGGGAAUGCAGCGCAAAGUAGGUGGUAAAUUCCAUCUAAAGCUAAAUAUUGGUGCGAGACCGAUAGCGAACAAGUACCGUGAGGGAAAGAUGAAAAGAACUUUGAAAAGAGAGUUAAAGAGUACCUGAAACUGCUGAAAGGGAACCGAAUCGUUUCCAGUGUCUAUAAUCCGUGGCAUAUUUCAUUGGCGAGUGUGUGCGUGCGUGUGCUUUGGCAGUGGCUUUUUUGGCUGCGCUGGGCGUGUGUGCUGUGUGUGCUUGCUGGUGCCCUGUGCUGCGGUGGGACGUCAAGGUCAGUUCGUAUGCUGCGGGAAAUGGCUGCCGAGGAGGUAGGGCUUACGCUCCGCGUUUGUCUGUUAUAUCUUGGUGGACGAGUCGUCGCGGUUGGGACUGAGGUGCCUACAACGUGCUUUUGAGUGAGUAUGGGUCUCCGUGUGCGCCGUGUGCGGAUAGCUUGCUAUGCGUGUGUGGUUGUGUGUGGAUUGAUGCGUGCUGUAACUGUCGCCGUUC